AAUUGUCUCUGCUGCUGGGGAAAAGGUUCGUGAAGCUGCACCCCGAGUAAAGCAGCUGCUCACCUGCCAAGCAAGCUAUCAGCACAGCAUUUGCAUUGGAACUGAGAGAAAAAUCCCCAAGGAGCGUGUCUGGGCAGCCAUAGGCUUGCGACAGCACCUGGCAGCAGCUUCAUGGAGCGAUCCGAGAGUUACAAAACGCCUUCACAACAGCGGACAGAACCGCUCCAUUCAGCCCUCCUCAGCUGAGCUCCCUUUGGCUCCCACCCCCAAGCCACCCCCCUGGAACAGCCCUCCCCAUAUCACAAGGCCGCUCAGAUCACGCCAACAGAACCCAAACCCAAGGAAAUCACAAUAGGAUUCGAAAGCACUCAGGAAAGAGGCCAACCAGUGUUUUUUUCAUGGACAUUAAUAACAGCAGAACCAGGCCAUAAACCCAAUGCCAUAAUCCCCCAACCUUUACUCAGGUGUAGACGUAUGGACUGUGGCUUCACAUAUGUUUGCACAGCGCAUAACAGGCUGAAGGCAGCAUGGAGUAAUAAUUAUGUAAGUAACAGUUGGCUUCAUUGAUUCAGCUCCUUCGAAUAAAGGUUGCAGAAGCAGACGGGAGAUUACAUAUCAUAUCUUUCUAAUCCUUCAGUUUAUUCCAGUCUAACACAGAGGACGUGGGCAACAUCCACCAGCACAGGACCCUGAGCACACAGAUAUAGUUGCCACUGCACUAACCAACCAGGGAAGCCAGCAUUUUCUCUCCCUGACAGAGCCGUAAUAAGGCAGGGGACCUGGGGAAGACAAAAAAGAAUGGGGCAGACAUGAACAGCAUCUCAGCACAAGAAAAGCAAAAGGAAAUGCAUCUUUUCCUCUCCCACUGCACGUAACAUUCCCUCAUGCUGAGGAUUUGGUACACAUGGGCAAGUAGAGCCAAAGAAAUUUGCUUAACAUUGUGGUGCAGAAAUGACAUGGUGCCACAGCUGUGCAUCUCUGUGCAGAGCCGAGCUGCCAGUGCAGAGCCACGUUCUGUACUGGAGUGCACAAGUCUGUAUUUCUAACCCCAGCUUCAUCAUGCUCCUCAAUCCUGUGUCUUUACUAGAAGUUUAAGAGCCCCUCAACUGAGAAAGCAGAAGUCCUAUUUGCAAAUGAACAUUUUAGCACUUAGGAAAUUGUCUAAUUAUAAGAACACAGAGCUUGAUGAAUAAAUGCCCCACGAGGGAAGUAAAGAGGACAAUGACAGGCUCUCCUCAGUGGUAUCCCAAGGGGCAAAGGGUAUUUUACAAUAAAGAAAACUCCAUUUAACCACAAAAAAAAACCAAAGUUGUUUUACUGUGAAGAUGGUCAAACACUGGAACAGGUUGCUCAGAGAGGUUGUGGAAUCUUCAUCCUUGGAGAUAUUCAGCAUGGGCAAGAUUGAACUGCUUUUGUCACCUCUCCUUUGAGCUGCAUGGGAAGGGGGAGGUGAACUAGAAGACCUUCAGAGGUCCCCACCAACCUCAGUAAAGUGGGGAUUGUGGCAAGCAUUCCCUGCAUUCUUUGUCCCCAGGAUACUGCCAUAAAACUGAAAAUGCAGCACUGCAUGGUAUGUCCCACUGCACCAGUAUGACUUGCCCAGGUCAGACAUCUCCAUGAAAGCGUGUGAGUGCAAAGUCAGACUAUAAGGGAUCAGAGGAUCUGCAUGAACUAAAUGCCUUCCUCAUCAAAAGAAAUGCAGAAAUCCAGGGAAACUAAACAAAAAGUUAACAAUGUGAAUGUUAGUUUGAAUAUUUAUAUAGACUUGACCCUUCCGUGCUCACACCUCUCACAUUAGCUUGCCAUGAGCUUUGGAAAGGUCAGAUUUUACUGGCAGAAGUGCCCAUGGAAAGCAAAAUUUACAUUUAUGUUUACUUCGGAGAUGUUUACACACUCAGCCAGUCAAGGAGACAAUAACAAUAUUAUGUGUAUUCUCUAGUAAAUUUCAGCUAACUGAUAUGAUCUGGGUACUGAUUUCUUUUUAUGUUAUGUUCAGUCAGUGC
ensembl:lncRNA